rnacentral:rRNA from 1 species
AAUAAACGCUGGCGGCGUGCGUAACACAUGCAAGUCGUACGAGAAAUCUUCUGCUUGCAGGAGAGAGUAAAGUGGCGUACGGGUGAGUAAUGCGUGGGUAAUCUACCCUUGAAUUCGGAAUAACAUGUCGAAAGGCGUGCUAAUACCGGAUGAGGUCAAUGCGGUUGCGGCUGUAUUGAUGAAAGGUGGCCUCUACAUGUAAGCUACUGUUUGGGGAUGAGCCUGCGUACCAUUAGCUAGUUGGUGGGGUAAAGGCCUACCAAGGCGACGAUGGUUAGCUGGUCUGAGAGGAUGAUCAGCCACACUGGAACUGGAACACGGUCCAGACUCCUACGGGUGGCAG